rnacentral:rRNA from 1 species
AACGAACGCUGGCGGCAUGCCUAACACAUGCAAGUCGAACGAAGGCUUCGGCCUUAGUGGCGCACGGGUGCGUAACGCGUGGGAAUCUGCCCCUCGGUUCGGAAUAACAGUUAGAAAUGACUGCUAAUACCGGAUGAUGACUUCGGUCCAAAGAUUUAUCGCCGAGGGAUGAGCCCGCGUAAGAUUAGGUAGUUGGUGGGGUAAAGGCCUACCAAGCCGACGAUCUUCAGCUGGUCUGAGAGGAUGAUCAGCCACACUGGGACUGAGACACGGCCCAGACUACUACGGGAGGCAGCAGUGGGGAAUAUUGGACAAUGGGCGAAAGCCUGAUCCAGCAAUGCCGCGUGAGUGAUAAAGGCCUUAGGGUUGUAAAGCUCUUUUACCAGGGAUGAUAAUGACAGUACCUGGAGAAUAAGCUCCGGCUAACUCCGUGCCAGCCGCCGCUGUAA